rnacentral:misc_RNA from 1 species
AAAUAAAAAUAAAAAUAAAAGGGGAAAAAAAAGUCAAUUGCAACAUGUUUUACAGUUAUUAUUAUUUGUACACAUUAUUUCUAAAUAAGAACCAGAACUCAGGAGAAUUCAGGUAAGAAGCUGUGGUCCUGAAAUUGAAGAGGAUUUGCCAUUUGAUAUAGAAGGUUCCUGCAACUAAUGAACUAAAGAAAUUCUGAUAGGCCUAAGCCUAAAUUCAUCGCUUUAAUUAGUUAAUCAGAAAACAUAACAAAAUUAUUUUUUUUAAAAAUGAAGCAUUAUAAAACCAAUAUAGUAUCAAAACAUCCUGAACAGUAUUUUGAAUACUCGGUUUUCUUCUUUAAACACACAAUAGAAGCCACAAGCACAAACUUGGACCAUGAAGAAUUCCACCAGAAGUGUUAGUACAACAGCAGACUAUAUGUAAGAACUCUGCAGAACAUGUUACAGAAGUCAUGCAUAUCAUCAAGAAGACGAAGGCAUAUUAUACAAACCAACAAAAUAUGAGGCAACCACACAAGCAUACAACAUGCAUAUGCAUAGUUUGCGUAUUAAAAACUAUUUCUUCUUCACAAAAUCAAACAACUGGAAUAAAUGAUUUAGAAUUUCACCUUUUCAGUCCCUUUUAUAAUAAAAUAUCCUCCAGGAUCUAGGGGACACUCACCUUAAGCCAACAGCAAAAAGUAAUUAACAAUUCUGUAUGAACAGAAAACAAAUGAAAAUGGAAAUUCAUUUAAGAGUUAGCACACAGCCACACACAAACCAAGUCUUGCAAGUUCUGCUUCAUCUUUUCCAUAUAAUACACAGCAGCGACUCCUCAACAUGAUAGGCAUUCUUCCAAUAACAACAUCAUUCUUUUCAACUCUGGUCUUUUGAUCAUGGCUUCCUUGAAUAUACUCUACAUUGACCAUUAUUGGUGCAGCAUAUGUCAAAUCAGAUAACCGGCAUGUAUGAGGGCUAAGCUGUUCACUGAUAGUGUCCACCAUCACCGAAGGUGUACCAAUCCUAACAUCUUUAAACCUGAGAUAAAUAUCAGGAUCAACAGUGGAUACAAUGCGAUCAUUGGCAUGCACAAUCUUCUUUAUACCAAUGUUUACAAAGUAAUUAAACGAGUCCAAAUGCUGCUUCACAAGACCUCUCACCUUUAAGAACUCAGGAAGAAGCGCGAAUUUAUCAACAGCGGAUUUGAUGGGAGCAGUAAGCUUUUGCUUAUCAAUGAGCUCCCCCACAUUUGGCUCUUGGUUUCCAGUAGAAGGGUCUGUCCGCAUGAGACCCAUGGAUGCUUUGCUCCUUUUGCUAAAAUCAAAUGCAAUAAUAAUAAUUUAAUGUUCGAUUUUAAUAGAAUUGGAAUCGAAUUACUUGUUUUCUGUUCGAUUUUCUUUUCUUCUCCCUCCUGUUCUCUUUGGAUGAGAAAAUUUCACUCUGGAAAUGGAAGAGUUGUGGAACGGAAAGCGGUUUAAUUUGUAGGUCGGUUACCACCAUA